rnacentral:rRNA from 1 species
GAUUGAAUGGCUUAGUGAGGUCUUCAGAUUGGCUUCGGAGAGCCGGCAACGGCCCACUGUUGCUGAGAAGUUGAUCAAACUUGGUCAUUUAGAGGAAGUAAAAGUCGUAAGCAAGGUUUCCGUAGGUGAACCUGCGGAAGGAUCAUU